AUACGGAGGAUCCGAGCGUUAUCCGGAUUUAUUGGGUUUAAAGGGUGCGCAGGCGGCCAUUUAAGUCAGCGGUUAAAUCGUGGGGCUCAACCCCAUUCUGCCGUUGAUACUGGGUGGCUUGAUUGCGGUCGAGGUUGGCGGAAUUCGUUGUGUAGCGGUGAAAUGCAUAGAUAUGACGAAGAACACCGAUUGCGUAGGCAGCUGACCAGACCGCAAAUGACGCUCAUGCACGAAAGUGCGGGGAUCUAACAGGAUUAGAUUCCCUGGUAGUCCGCACAGUAAACGAUGAAUACUUGUUUUCGGCGAUAUAAUGUCGGAGGCAAAGCUAAAGCGAUAAGUAUUCCACCUGGGGAGUACGCCGGCAACGGUGAAACUCAAAUGAAUUGGCGGGG
rnacentral:rRNA from 1 species